GAGCUCUCGACUCUGAGAUGAUGUUGAGGUGGGAGGGGCUGGCUGGUGCUCCUCCACUUGGAGAUGACACUCAGUGGGGAGGAGGAGCAACUGGGCACCCCUCAGCAGCCACCACAGCCUGGUCUGUCCACAUUUAGAUCACAAAGGUUCCUUAGAGGUCCUUGAGGCCUGUCAUGCCCUGGCAGCUUUGUAGAUGGAAAGCAGGGAGUCGAAUCUGUUUGUGGGACUGGAACCCAGACGCUGUACCCCAUCAGCCAUACCAGAUGCUUGCAAGACGGAGCCAGUCCUGGCUUUGUGCUGCUCAACUGUGUUCUCAGCGGAGGUCACCUUGUGUGAUGUUCCCACAGCCUGCCAGCAGUAGUUCCCCCUCCCACUUUCCAGAUGAGGAAACUGACAGGUGGCUUCACACCCUGGCCUCCUCACCUGCCUGGACAACCCAGCUCAUAGGUGACAAUGAGCUCAUCAAGGGGCAGAGCCCAGCACAAAGCCUAGCCUGGGGGUGGGGCUCUGGAAGUUUCCAUCAAGUAAAGGCAAGACUAAAGCAGCUUGGCCCAGAAGGGACUGCAGCAACAAGGCCCGGCAAAGCCAAGCCCUCCUGGGCCCUCAGUUUCCUCAUCUGCCAAAUGGGGCUAUGGGCCCAGAUUCCCUAUGUUCUCCUAGCUCCAUCACCCACAGAGGACAACACCAGGACCCUCCCAUGCCCCAGCCUAAGACCCCCAGCAAGGCCCAGCACUGGUGCUCUGGGCUCAAGUCAGGCCUGGGAGUGAGCUGUAUCCCCUCUCUGGGUCUCAGUUUCUACAUCUGUGAAGUGGGGUGCUGGACAAGAUUGUCUAAGGCCUGUCCUGGCUGUGCUCUGCCUCCGGGGCCUAGCAGGGCCCGUCUGGGCCAGCCAGAGCAGCUCACCACAUCCUCUAGCAUCCCACAGACUCCUGCCGGCCAAGUGUGGACAUGAGCCUGCUGCUCCCAGCACCCACAACAGUUUCUAGACUGCCUGUGCCCUAGACUCCACUCAGUGGAGCAAAAACACCCUCAGACACAGUGGGUAGACAGGCCUUCCAGGAAGUGCUGAGGAGGAGGAGGCCUAUAAGACAGGCAGCCGGUGUAAACACAGCUAAGAAAGCGCUAUGCACAGCCCAGCUUCUGCGGCAGCCUCUCUUGGGAUCCCAAGAUCCUCUUUCUAAAACACCCUGCCUCAGACCACCAGUUCUCUAUACAAGCUGCUUCCUGGCAGGUGCUUACUAAUUCUGCCUCUUUCUAGACAACUUCUAUCCAUCCAUCCUUUGAAACCCAACUUGAGUACUGCCCAUAGCUCAUUGCUCUGGCCCAUCUGGCUGAAUUAAGCAUGUUAUCUAUCACUUGUGCAUUUCUGGUGAUGCCAAAGCAGCAAGUCCCUCCAGGCCUGGACCCUGAGAUGGGACUAGGGAAGGGUUUCCAGUGACAGACUGUGGAGCCCCCUGCAGGUGCUCAGGGAGCCAGCAGUGGAGAGACACACCCCAGACUCCCUGGAGUCCCCAAGUGGCCUCCACAGAGUACACACUGGGAACAAGUAAUCUUCUCCAUAGGGGAGGUGGGAUGGGGACAGAAGCUGCAAAUCUGGGUCUGUCCUUUGCUGGGACGGUGGACACCCAGCCAGCAGCUGGGCAGCCGGCGUGCCAGGCACUGAGAACUGCCCUCCCAGACCCACCACUGGCUGGAGCUGGACCCAGCUGGUUUGGGGCCUUAAGGAGUGUCUCUCUGCAGCCUGCUUGUGCUUCUUCCUCUAGACCUCCCCGUCCCAAUGCUUGCCAGAGUCCAUGGCCCUGAGCAGUGACUACUUUCUCCCCGCCCCAACACUGUAGUCCCAUCACUGACCCCACGGGCCUAGCACCCCUGCCUUUCAGUCUCUAUUCCACCAAGGCUCUUCUGGUCAGAGCACAGGGGUGUUGAGCUCCUGCUCAGAGCCCUGGCUCCCCCAGCUGCACAACCUGGGCAGGCAGAGCCACCAGGACCGGAGAUGAGCAAGCAUCUCCACCAUGAGGCCUACCUGGGAGUCCUCUCUCCCCAUUUAUAACUCCUGACACCCAGACCCUCAGUGGUUCUGUCUCUCCUCUCCUUCUUACCAAUACAGAGCCUCCAGGUUCCUUCACAAAGGGCGAAUGGCCUAUUUCUGGUUGCCAGGGCUGAAAGGGUUGGGCACGCACACCCCAGCUGCCCAUCCCCAUAGAGUCCUGGGAAGUUAAGAGUAAACAGGAAAGUCCCAUGAACCCUUCCCCAAUUCCCCUCCAGCAGUAAUAUCUUGCAUAGCUGCAAGUUCUUUGCAUCUGAAGUUCACUCAGCUGUCACUAGUCACAUAUACUCUGUGUGUGUCCAAAUAAGCCUUGUCAUACGUGUUGGUUUGUAUAACCACCAACAUGGUGGGUGGGUGUAGUGGCACAUGUAUGUAAUCUUAACACUGUAGAAGCUAAGACAAAAGGAUCAUAAGCUUGAGGCCAGCCUGGGCUUAAAACAGCAAGACUCUUCUACCACCCUU